rnacentral:rRNA from 1 species
UACGGAGGGUGCAAGCGUUGUUCGGAAUUAUUGGGCGUAAAGGGCGUGUAGGCGGUUUCUUAAGUCUGAUGUGAAAGCCCCGGGCUCAACCUGGGAAGUGCAUUGGAAACUGGGAGACUUGAGUACGGGAGAGGGCAGUGGAAUUCCUGGUGUAGGAGUGAAAUCCGUAGAUAUCAGGAGGAACACCGGUGGCGAAGGCGGCUGCCUGGACCGAUACUGACGCUGAGACGCGAAAGCGUGGGGAGCAAACAGG